ACUACGGGAGGCAGCAGUAGGGAAUAUUGCGCAAUGGGCGAAAGCCUGACGCAGCAACGCCGCGUGAUCGCAACGCCCUUCGGGGUGUAAAGAUCUGUCAGUGGGGACGAAACUUGACGGUACCCACAGAGUAACCACCGGCUAACUCCGUGCAAGCAGCCGCGGUAAUACGGGGUGUGCAAGCGUUGUCCGGAAUCAUUGGGCGUAAAUAGGUCGUAAGCGGCACGUCAAGGUCGGUGUGAAAGGCAGAGGGUCAACUUCUGUACGGCACUUGAUAAUUGCGAGCUAGAGUGCGAUAGAGGUAAAGGGAAUUCCUGGUGUAGCGGUGAAAGGCUUAGAGAUCAGGAGGAACAUCGGUGGCGAAGGCGCUUUCCUGGGCCGUGAUUGACGCUGAGGAACGAAAGCCAGGGUAGCAAAUGGGAUUAGAUACCCUUGUAGUC
rnacentral:rRNA from 1 species